rnacentral:rRNA from 1 species
GGGGGAUCUUCGGACCUCACGCCAUCGGAUGUGCCCAGAUGGGAUUAGCUAGUAGGUGAGGUAAUGGCUCACCUAGGCGACGAUCCCUAGCUGGUCUGAGAGGAUGACCAGCCACACUGGAACUGAGACACGGUCCAGACUCCUACGGGAGGCAGCAGUGGGGAAUAUUGCACAAUGGGCGCAAGCCUGAUGCAGCCAUGCCGCGUGUGUGAAGAAGGCCUUAGGGUUGUAAAGCACUUUCAGCGAGGAGGAAGGCAUCACACUUAAUACGUGUGUUGAUUGACGUUACUCGCAGAAGAAGCACCGGCUAACUCCGUGCCAGCAGCCGCGGUAAUACGGAGGGUGCAAGCGUUAAUCGGAAUUACUGGGCGUAAAGCGCACGCAGGCGGUUUGUUAAGUCAGAUGUGAAAUCCCCGAGCUUAACUUGGGAACUGCAUUUGAAACUGGCAAGCUAGAGUCUUG